rnacentral:rRNA from 1 species
AUUGAACGCUGGCGGCAUGCUUUACACAUGCAAGUCGAACGGCAGCACGGACUUCGGUCUGGUGGCGAGUGGCGAACGGGUGAGUAAUACAUCGGAACGUGCCCAGUUGUGGGGGAUAACUACUCGAAAGAGUAGCUAAUACCGCAUGAGAACUGAGGUUGAAAGCAGGGGAUCGUAAGACCUUGCGCAACUGGAGCGGCCGAUGGCAGAUUAGGUAGUUGGUGGGAUAAAAGCUUACCAAGCCGACGAUCUGUAGCGGGUCUGAGAGGACGACCAGCCACACUGGGACUGAGACACGCCCCAGACUCCUACGGGAGGCAGCAGUGGGGAAUUUUGGACAAUGGGCGAAAGCCUGAUCCAGCAAUGCCGCGUGCAGGAUGAAGGCCUUCGGGUUGUAAACUGCUUUUGUACGGAACGAAAAGCUUCGGGUUAAUACCCUGGAGUCAUGACGGUACCGUAAGAAUAAGCACCGGCUAACUACGUGCCAGCAGCCGCCGUAAUAC